GCUGUUUGUGCGAAAGCUGACGAUACGCAGGAGCGCAGAUUUGAAACACUGACUUCUAAGCAUGACCAGUGCCAGCAGCAUCACUAUGGAUAAUAAUCACGAAAGCCAGCUCUGUCUAUUGGAAUUAUACACAUAUGAGGAGAAAGCUGAAGUCUCUACCUGUCCUCUGUCUGAUUCCCAGUUCGUCCACUAGAUGGAGGUAGGAGAUCACAUGUCUUCGCUUGGCCACUUGAAAUCAGUUGCAUCUGGUUUGGGUAGUGAGUCACCAUGCCACAAUGGCUGAACGGAUUUUCAACCCCCCAAACUCAGGCCCUGUACUGGGCCCAAAACAACCACUCAGAGUUUAACAGAUACUUUACACCACUGACUGUAUAUAUAUAUAUUACCUUAUGAGUAAUGGACUAAUGAAUGAAUUACUGUCUCAAAUGUUGUAAUAUUAUUACAGUUACUUUUUCAAGUAACCCGUAUAUUACUUUCAGGUGCACAUCUCUACCGGCUUGUAUAUAUAUAUUUUAAAGCCUUGUCUCAUGCUAAUGUUAUUCAUGCUGUAGGCUAACUUAAAGCUGAAAAUCUAAAAAAGAUGGCAACUGUGUUCUUACCCUACUUAACCUUUUCCUAGUGGAAAUGCUCCCAUUAUUUUUAGUUAAUCGAGGAGAAGAGAAAAACAUUUUAGUCAAAUGCAAACUCUGCAAAGGCAGCAUUGAUCUCUUCUUCCAGAUACACCACAUCAAACCUGAAAAAGCAUCUGGUGGUCGUCCACAAACGCACAAAGCUGGUAGCGAAAGUUCCAGAAAUGCGUGAAAGAGAACUCUAUACACAUUAUGGAAAUGUAAAAAGACGCAAAAAUAAUAUUUCGAGUGUUCAAAUGAAAUGUACAUUUAGACAAUCAACAUUUCUGAUAAAUGCAAUUCAAAAUGGCAAGAAUGUGAGGGAGUAGGGAGACUCCCCUUGCAGAUUUUGAACCCAGGCCACCAGCAUCAAUGUCCCAAUAAGGUCUAUUUCUAAGGCAUGUGCUUAUUGGGCCAGGGAUACAACCAACACUGUGUAGUUAGGCCCUGUCCAGAAGAAACCCUAACCCCUCCUCCCUACGCACUUGUGUAGAUUUGAAACAACUUUGAUAGGUGUAAGCAAUAGUGUGAAAGCAUGUGGAAGUAAAACAUUUUUAUUGAUCAUAGGGAUUCAGGAGUAUCAUUAAAACAGGUUAAUAUGCCCCACCAACAUUAGACAACUAUACAAAAACUAUACAUUCCUUUGUAGACAAACUGGAAUUUGA
rnacentral:lncRNA from 1 species